rnacentral:lncRNA from 1 species
CCGAGUUAAAAAUUGAAAUAUUUCACGCGUCCGGAAAACACUGGGGUCCGGAAGCCGGUCCUGCCAACAGUGUCGGAAUUCGAAUCCGGAAAUGCCUACGCAAAGCUCAAGUUGCGAGGAGUCCAGAAGUACAAGAGUUUUGGCCGGAAAGUGGCCGGAAGGCGGCGGAUCGGGGCCGGAAAGUCGCUGCUCACGCGACACUUUCCAAGGCUGCCGGCAAGGAUUUUCCAACGGAAGAGGGUUGCUUCAGGGGUUUUUGGGGAUGGGGAGUCCGAUUCCGGCGUCGGUUUGCGGAAAGGACGCCGGCAGGAGGCCGAAUCGACGAU